AUUAUGGAACCAUUUUUAUAAUUUCUAAUUUCUAUAUACACAUCAUUCUUGUUCUUUCAUGUCUGUUAUUUACAUUAAUAAUCUCUACUCCUUUGUAUACAGAGAUUUCUAAAGUUGAGAGUGUGGGAGCAAGAUGAAGAAACAGCGUUAUCAAUUUCCAGGAAGAAAUGACCUCAAAGCUGGAAGAGUUGGAGAUAUGUAGUUGACAUCUGUUUCACUCUGUCUAGACAGCAUCAGAGUAAGACUGAGUCUCGCUCUGUUACCAGGCUGGAGUACAGUGGUGUGAUCUUGGCUUAUUGCAACCUCCGCAUCCUGGGUUCAAGCGACUUUCCUGCCCCAGCCUCCCAAGUAGCUGGGACUACAGGUCAGCUUUCUUUCCAGAGCACCGGUCCCCAACCCUCAGGCCGUGGACCAGUAGCGAUCUGUGUCCUGUUAGGAACUGGGCUGCACAGCAGGCGAGUCCAUGUUACAUCACUGCCCAUAUGCUGGACACUGGAGAUCACAAAAUCUCAUCCCACUUUUGGCAACAAGAAACCUAAAGUUUGUUUGGGUAGAGUUCAAGGUUGGACCUGA
ensembl:lncRNA